rnacentral:rRNA from 1 species
AAAUUGAAGAGUUUGAUCAUGGCUCAGAUUGAACGCUGGCGGCAGGCCUAACACAUGCAAGUCGAGCGGAAACGAGUUAUCAGAACCUUCGGGGAACGAUAAUGGCGUCGAGCGGCGGACGGGUGAGUAAUGCCUAGGAAAUUGCCCUGAUGUGGGGGAUAACCAUUGGAAACGAUGGCUAAUACCGCAUGAUGCCUACGGGCCAAAGAGGGGGACCUUCGGGCCUCUCGCGUCAGGAUAUGCCUAGGUGGGAUUAGCUAGUUGGUGAGGUAAGGGCUCACCAAGGCGACGAUCCCUAGCUGGUCUGAGAGGAUGAUCAGCCACACUGGAACUGAGACACGGUCCAGACUCCUACGGGAGGCAGCAGUGGGGAAUAUUGCACAAUGGGCGCAAGCCUGAUGCAGCCAUGCCGCGUGUGUGAAGAAGGCCUUCGGGUUGUAAAGCACUUUCAGUCGUGAGGAAGG